CAGUGAACGUGAUGGAGAAUAUGAAAGUGAUGGAGUAAGUGACACUGAAGAACAGAGCGAGACAAGCGAAAACGAGGAAUCAAACGAAAGUUCCGAUGAAAGUGAAGAUAGCGAAAACUAUACGUAUGACGAGGUGCGAGCAAUUUUGCGCUAUGCAUUAAAAUCAAGUGAGAGUUAAAAAGUUCAGUUUUAUUCGUUUUCCACCAGACUGAGUCGAACAGCUAACUAGGAAAGAAGUAAAAAUCAUUCAGUAUGAACUCAGAACCAAAACCAAUUUUGAAAGUAAAAUCAACAUUUGUGAAAAAUAAAAUG